rnacentral:rRNA from 1 species
AUUGAACGCUGGCGGCAUGCCUUACACAUGCAAGUCGAACGGCAGCACGGAGCUUGCUCUGGUGGCGAGUGGCGAACGGGUGAGUAAUAUAUCGGAACGUACCCUGGAGUGGGGGAUAACGUAGCGAAAGUUACGCUAAUACCGCAUACGAUCUACGGAUGAAAGUGGGGGAUCGCAAGACCUCAUGCUCGUGGAGCGGCCGAUAUCUGAUUAGCUAGUUGGUAGGGUAAAAGCCUACCAAGGCAUCGAUCAGUAGCUGGUCUGAGAGGACGACCAGCCACACUGGAACUGAGACACGGUCCAGACUCCUACGGGAGGCAGCAGUGGGGAAUUUUGGACAAUGGGCGAAAGCCUGAUCCAGCAAUGCCGCGUGAGUGAAGAAGGCCUUCGGGUUGUAAAGCUCUUUUGUCAGGGAAGAAACGGUGAGGGCUAAUAUCCCUUGCUAAUGACGGUACCUGAAGAAUAAGCACCGGCUAACUACGUGCCAGCAGCCGCGGUAAUACGUAGGGUGCAAGCGUUAAUCGGAAUUACUGGGCGUAAAGCGUGCGCAGGCGGUUUUGUAAGUCUGAUGUGAAAUCCCCGGGCUCAACCUGGGAAUUGCAUUGGAGACUGCAAGGCUAGAAUCUGGCAGAGGGGGGUAGAAUUCCACGUGUAGCAGUGAAAUGCGUAGAUAUGUGGAGGAACACCGAUGGCGAAGGCAGCCCCCUGGGUCAAGAUUGACGCUCAUGCACGAAAGCGUGGGGAGCAAACAGGAUUAGAUACCCUGGUAGUCCACGCCCUAAACGAUGUCUACUAGUUGUCGGGUCUUAAUUGACUUGGUAACGCAGCUAACGCGUGAAGUAGACCGCCUGGGGAGUACGGUCGCAAGAUUAAAACUCAAAGGAAUUGACGGGGACCCGCACAAGCGGUGGAUGAUGUGGAUUAAUUCGAUGCAACGCGAAAAACCUUACCUACCCUUGACAUGGCUGGAAUCCCCGAGAGAUUGGGGAGUGCUCGAAAGAGAACCAGUACACAGGUGCUGCAUGGCUGUCGUCAGCUCGUGUCGUGAGAUGUUGGGUUAAGUCCCGCAACGAGCGCAACCCUUGUCAUUAGUUGCUACGAAAGGGCACUCUAAUGAGACUGCCGGUGACAAACCGGAGGAAGGUGGGGAUGACGUCAAGUCCUCAUGGCCCUUAUGGGUAGGGCUUCACACGUCAUACAAUGGUACAUACAGAGCGCCGCCAACCCGCGAGGGGGAGCUAAUCGCAGAAAGUGUAUCGUAGUCCGGAUUGUAGUCUGCAACUCGACUGCAUGAAGUUGGAAUCGCUAGUAAUCGCGGAUCAGCAUGUCGCGGUGAAUACGUUCCCGGGUCU